rnacentral:rRNA from 1 species
GCCUACAACAUAGAGUUAAUGUAUCAAAUUCCAUUAGAACUUUGCAAUUAAGCACACUUAGGAUAGAGUAGUAUUGGGAUGGGUGACCACCCAAGAAGUCCUAGUUUUUUUAUAUGCC